rnacentral:rRNA from 1 species
UGGGGAAUUUUGGACAAUGGGCGAAAGCCUGAUCCAGCAAUGCCGCGUGUGUGAAGAAGGCCUUCGGGUUGUAAAGCACUUUUGUCCGGAAAGAAAUCCUUGGCUCUAAUACAGCCGGGGGAUGACGGUACCGGAAGAAUAAGCACCGGCUAACUACGUGCCAGCAGCCGCGGUAAUACGUAGGGUGCAAGCGUUAAUCGGAAUUACUGGGCGUAAAGCGUGCGCAGGCGGUUUGCUAAGACCGAUGUGAAAUCCCCGGGCUCAACCUGGGAACUGCAUUGGUGACUGGCAGGCUAGAGUAUGGCAGAGGGGGGUAGAAUUGCCACGUGUAGCAGUGAAAUGCGUAGAGAUGUGGAGGAAUACCGAUGGCGAAGGCAGCCCCCUGGGCCAAUACUGACGCUCAUGCACGAAAGCGUGGGGAGCAAACAGGAUUAGAUACCCUGGUAGUCCACGCCCUAAACGAUGUCAACUAGUUGUUGGGGAUUCAUUUCCUUAGUAACGUAGCUAACGCGUGAAGUUGACCGCCUGGGGAGUACGGUCG